GACGUCGAUAUUCGACGUCAUAAACACGAUCAACUUUGGUGUUUAUGACGUCGAUAUUCGACGUCAUAAACACGAUCAACUUUGGUGUUUAUGACGUCGAUAUCGAGGUC